rnacentral:rRNA from 1 species
GAUGGACGCUAGCGGCAGGCCUAACACAUGCAAGUCGAGGGGUAACUAGAGUGAUAGCAAUAUUACUUUGGUUAGACCGGCGCACGGGUGCGUAACACGUAUGCAACCUACCUUAUACUGGGGAAUAACUUCGAGAAAUCGGCGCUAAUACCCCAUAACAUUGCGAAGAGGCAUCUCUUUGCAAUUAAAGCUCCGGCGGUAUAAGAUGGGCAUGCGUCCAAUUAGCUAGUUGGUGAGGUAACGGCUCACCAAGGCUACGAUUGGUAGGGGUUCUGAGAGGAUGAUCCCCCACACUGGUACUGAGACACGGACCGGACUCCUACGGGAGGCAGCAGUGAGGAAUAUUGCGCAAUGGACGAAAGUCUGACGCAGCCAUGCCGCGUGCAGGAUGACGGCCCUAUGGGUUGUAAACUGCUUUUGUACGGGAAUAAACCCUUCUACGUGUAGGAGGCUGAAGGUACCGUAAGAAUAAGCACCGGCUAACUCCGUGCCAGCCGCCGCGGUAACAC